GCUGCAGAAGAAGCACCGGCUAACUCCGUGCCAGCAGCCGCGGUAAUACGGAGGGUGCGAGCGUUAAUCGGAAUUACUGGGCGUAAAGCGCAUGCAGGUGGUUGUUAAGUCAGAUGUGAAGACCCGGGGCGUCAACCUCGGAAUUGCAUUUGAAACUGGCAACUAGAGUACUGUAGAGGGGGUAGGAAUUUCUAGGUGUAGCGGUGAAAUAGCGUAGAGAUCUGAAGGAAUACCGGUGGCGAAGGCGGCCCCCUCGGACAGAUACUGACACUCAGAUGCGAAAGCGUGGGGAGCAAACAGGAUUAGAUACCCUCGGUAA
rnacentral:rRNA from 1 species